GCGAGGGUGGCGAAAUUGGUAGACGCACCAGGUUUAGGUCCUGGCGCCCUAAACAGGUGUAGGGGUUCGAGUCCCCUCCUUCGCACCA
rnacentral:tRNA from 2 species